rnacentral:rRNA from 1 species
UACGAAGGGGGCUAGCGUUGCUCGGAAUCACUGGGCGUAAAGCGCACGUAGGCGGAUCUUUAAGUCAGGGGUGAAAUCCUGGAGCUCAACUCCAGAACUGCCUUUGAUACUGAGGAUCUUGAGUCCGGGAGAGGUGAGUGGAACUCCGAGUGUAGAGGUGAAAUUCGUAGAUAUUCGGAAGAACACCAGUGGCGAAGGCGGCUCACUGGCCCGGUACUGACGCUGAGGAACGAAAGCGUGGGGAGCGAACAGG